rnacentral:misc_RNA from 1 species
AAAAAUUUUACCAAAUCCUAUUCUUUCAACCAUUCCUCAAGUUCUUUUAAAUAAAAUAGCUUUUAACACUGGUAGUUAGAAGUGUAUUGUUUGUCACAAUUGAAACAUAAAUCCUUCGUUGUAUACCAUCACAGCUCUGAAGAGACAUUACGGGCUUGUAAAAGGAGUUGGGGUAAUUUGCACCCUCUAGACGAUGUUCAUAUAGACAAGCUAAAUUCAUUAUUGUUCACAAAUCAGUGGAUUUAUGCAACGUGACUUCCACUUGGAUUGUUGAUGCAGCUUGAGAAGAUAAUUUCUAAGCCCAUGUUAGGAAAUGUUCAAAAUGGUGCUGGUAUUCUAUAACUGUGUUCGCCUAAUUCAAUUUGUAUCAGUUGCCAAGCUUUCUUCCACAUAUAUGCGGCCCAAAUUAUAGGUAGUGUUGAAAUCCCAAUCCCUACAUUAAAGGAAUUAU